rnacentral:lncRNA from 1 species
GAUUAAGUAAAAGGAAAAAUCUGCUUAAUUAAUUAACAACUUAUCUCACAAGGUUUUUGAUCAGGUAAGCACACCUACAACUCAUGUAUUGAUGUUAUAUUUCUUAUUACAACCCAUUUUAAAAGUUCAGAAGCUUCCGUGAGAACAAUUCAAGGACAUUCUUCAGUAGUACUCACCUUUAAGCUGCAGUUUUUCUAUUCCUGCGUAGAUAUUCACAUGGUGUACCCAGGAUCCUGCGAACAAUUUUAACUCCACCCUAAAGGUAAACAGAACUUGACAUGGUUUCCGUUGAGAAACCCUGCUACAUACAUUGUCAAAGUUUCAAUAGGCAAAUAUUAAAUUCUGAAAGAGGACUAAACUCCCACUAUUUCGACAAGAAUAUAUUUAUAUGAGACACAAUUUUCUGUAACAGAAUGUCAUAACUGAAAAUGGCUUAUUGUUUACUAUAAAAUAUGAGCCUGAACAACAUAAUUUAAUCCCUAGAGGAACACUACGGACCAUACCCUGUUCUGAACCACUGGUGUCGGUGUGGCGCACCACCGCAAACACCUCUCUUGUUGUGUUGUGCAUCACCUAAGGUACUACGCACCGGUUAGCGCCAUCUUGAUAUUCCCUAUUUUACAAAGAUGGACAUCACAUGGGAACAAAAUUCUACCAACUCCAUCAAGAAACGACCACAUUAAGAACUCGAGUUAUAGGAAGAAAUUUCAGCAUUAGUGAGAAGGAAAUGGACAAAAUAUUGUAUUACAGCUACAGAGCUACAAUAUUGCAUUACAGGUACGGAACUACAAUAUAUCUCCAAUAUAAAAAUUGGGUAAUUAAUUCCAUACCAGAUAACUAAUUAACGUGCAGUAAUUGUGUUGUACGCUUAUUGUGGACAUCAAAAUCUAGAUUAGUUACCCAUACAUGCACAAAAAAAACCUCCCAUACUAUGUUUAUCUGUUGAACCAUUUCAUCAGGGCAGUCUACUAACCUACACAUUCAGGAACUUCUAGCCAUAUCUAUUGUGUUCAUCGAUUCAGGCUGAUCUUCCUUUGCUUUGGUCUACUGUGUUGUUCCUUCUUUCCCGAAUAAAUACCAAUGUCAACGGUGGAUACACAAAUUUUGUGGAGAGACACCUUGGUGCUGCAAGAUGUGAAGAAACAGGCUGACCUUGCCGCUGCAUGUAUAGUGUUUAUCAUGGCUUUAAUUAACCCGCUGCCAUGAUCAAACCCAUUGCAUAUGUCUCAGUUGAACAACAAUACGCUACAGAAGAGUACUCAUGUAUUCUCCACAUAAUCUAAAAACCAUACGAUCUUCACUUAAACCGCUUUCUGAACAAAACUACUGUCAUAACAAAAGUCAUGACGGUGAACGGUAAGCAGCAGCAGCACGAACACACAGGGCGGCCAGCCACAGAACAACAUCAUCAGUACGGGCCGGCCACAAGCACACGGGGCCGACGGCGGGUAAUAGCAGCACCUGCAACAUGACGGGGCGGCGGCGUCUCGCUGGUAACCCUAACCCUAGCUCGCCGGCCCAGGCAAAUUGGGUGAGCCAGAGAAAGAGGAUUGACCUAGCAGUCGCCUCCGCCAAGGACCACGGGGAAUCGCUGGGAGGAGCCGCCCUCGUCUUCCGUCGAGCACCAGCAGAGACAUAGGGGCGGUGGGUUUCGACUUUUGAUCCAGGUGGAUGGGCGAAGAGGAGAACGAGAGGGAUCUGUAGAGAGGCAC